rnacentral:rRNA from 1 species
GAGUGGCAGACGGGUGAGUAACGCGUGGGAACAUACCCCCCGGUUCGGAAUAACUCAGGGAAACUUGAGCUAAUACCGGAUACGUCCAAGGUUUUCAUCGACCUUGGAGAAAGAUUUAUCGCCGGAAGAUUGGCCCGCGUCUGAUUAGCUUGUUGGUGAGGUAAUGGCUCACCAAGGCGACGAUCAGUAGCUGGUCUGAGAGGAUGAUCAGCCACAUUGGGACUGAGACACGGCCCAAACUCCUACGGGAGGCAGCAGUGGGGAAUAUUGGACAAUGGGCGAAAGCCUGAUCCAGCCAUGCCGCGUGAGUGAUGAAGGCCUUAGGGUUGUAAAGCUCUUUUACCCGGGAAGAUAAUGACGGUACCGGGAGAAUAAGCCCCGGCUAUCUUCGUGCCAGCAGCCGCGGUAAUACGAAUGGGGCUAGCGUUGUUCGGAAUUACUGGGCGUAAACCGCACGUAAGGCGGAUCCUUAAGUCUGGGGUGAAAUCCCGAGGCUCAACCUUCGGAACUGCCCUUUGAAUACUGGGGAUAUCGAGUCCCGGGAGAAGUGAAGUGGAAACUGCGAGUGUAGAGGUGAAAUUCGUAGAUAAUCGCAAGAAACCACCAGUGGCGAAGGCGGCUCACUGGCCCGGUACUGACGCUGAGGUGCGAAAGCGUGGGGAGCAAAACAGGAUUAGAUACCCUGGUAGUCCACGCCGUAAAACGAUGGAUGCUAGCCGUUAGACAGCUUGCUGUUUAGUGGCGCAGUUAACGCGUUAAGCAUCCCGCCUGGGGAGUACGGUCGCAAGAUUAAAACUCAAAGGAAUUGACGGGGGCCCGCACAAGCGGUGGAGCAUGUGGUUUAAUUCGAAGCAACGCGAAGAACCUUACCAGCUCUUGACAUGUCUCGUAUGGGGACCGGAGACGGUUUCCUUCAGUUCGGCUGGCGAGAACACAGGUGCUGCAUGGCUGUCGUCAGCUCGUGUCGUGAGAUGUUGGGUUAAGUCCCGCAACGAGCGCAACCCUCGCCCUUAGUUGCCAUCAUUCAGUUGGGCACUCUAGGGGGACUGCCGGUGAUAAGCCGAGAGGAAGGUGGGGAUGACGUCAAGUCCUCAUGGCCCUUACGGGCUGGGCUACACACGUGCUACAAUGGCGGUGACAAUGGGAUGCUGAGGGGCGACCCCGAGCAAAUCUCAAAAAGCCGUCUCAGUUCGGAUUGCACUCUGCAACUCGAGUGCAUGAAGGUGGAAUCGCUAGUAAUCGUAGAUCAGAACGCUACGGUGAAUACGUUCCCGGGCCUUGUA